rnacentral:lncRNA from 1 species
UAAUGUUAAAUUUACAUUUAAAUCUAAAUGUUAAAUUUAUAUUUAAAUCUAAAGGUUAAAUUUAUAUUUAAAUCAAAAUGUUUAAUCUAAAUGUUAAAUCUAAAUGUCAAAUCUCAAUGUGAAAUCUAAAUGUUAAAUCUAAAUGUUAAAUUUAUAUUUAAAUCUAAAUAAAUCGGUCGCCAAGUGUGAAGCUCACUGUUAAGAAAUUAUGCAAAGUAGGCAGGUCAGCGCCUGUCAAUUACCAGGCCCCGCCCAGUGAUGUAGACAACGAGGUUGCAGAAGACCUUGGAGGGUGGGGUGUGUGGAGUGUGGGCGGGGCCAGGAGCAAAAAGGGAAAGCUGUGUUUAUGCAUGCAAACACUCAAGGCCCAGCUUGUGCCUCUGAGCAGCAGCAUUAGUAGCAUUAGUAGCAUUGGUAGCAUUAGUAGCAUUGGUAGCAUUAGUAGCAUUAGUAGCAUUGGUAGCAUUAGUAGCAUUGGUAGCAUUAGUAGCAUUGGUAGCAUUGGCAGCAUUAAUAGCAAUAGUAGCAUUAGUAUCAUGAGUAGCAUUAGUAGCAUGAAGCGAUCAGCACACGGCCUGGAUACAGACAUGACGCAUCCAGCUCAGAUUUCAGGGGCUGCACCCAAUGUCAAAGAGCAAAAAAACAUAAACCAUAUCUCAAAUAAAUCCAUCUUCUGUGGGAUUUUUGGAGGCUGCACCAAACGCCCAGGACCAGAUACCACAGCACACCUACAGAGGUCACUUCACUUCUAAAGCAUUAACAGGUAAGUAAGUAUGUGGUGUUUAUUGUGAGAUGACUCUAUCUGAGCUGGAGUAGAGCCACACUGACCUCUGCUGGAGAUCUGACUCCAUCUCACAGGUCUGAUGAAUCCAUCACAGACUGACUGUAAACAGAUUGGACCAGGCACAUGAUCAUGAACCUGAGGUAAUCUGAUAAAAUGCUGACGGAAAUCACGUGAUGAAGCUGACAGGAUGCUGUUAAUUCUGUUUCAAAGAAAUACACAGAACUUUUGAAAAUGUACAAUUUACACCGAGUAUAAGAAAAAAAAAAUGGAUUUGGUGAUAUAUCGCAAUAUUUCACUGCACAAUUAUUGCAUCCGUCCC